AUACGUAGGGAGCGAGCGUUGUCCGGAAUUACUGGGCGUAAAGGGCGCGUAGGCGGCGCUUCAAGUCGUCUGUCAAAUGGGAGGGCUUAACCCUUUUUCGCAGACGAAACUGGAGAGCUUGAGAAGCAGAGAGGCAAACAGAAUUCCUGGUGUAGCGGUGAAAUGCGUAGAUAUCAGGAAGAAUACCAGUGGCGAAGGCGGUUUGCUGGCUGCAUACUGACGCUGAAGCGCGAAAGCCAGGGGAGCAAACGGGAUUAGAUACCCCGGUAGCCCUGGCAGUAAACGAUGUAUGCUGGGUGUGAGACUAGCGAUAGUUUCGUGCCGAAGUUAACGCGAUAAGCAUACCGCCUGGGGAGUACGGUCGCAAGAUUGAAACUCAAAUGAAUUGACGGGG
rnacentral:rRNA from 1 species